CCUACGGGGGGCAGCAGUGGGGAAUAUUGCACAAUGGGCGCAAGCCUGAUGCAGCCAUGCCGCGUGUGUGAGAAGGCCUUCGGGUUGUAAAGCACUUUCAGCGGGGAGGAAGGCGGUGAGGUUAUUAACCUCAUCGAUUGACGUUACCCGCAGAAGAAGCACCGGCUAACUCCGUGCCAGCAGCCGCGGUAAUACGGAGGGUGCAAGCGUUAAUCGGAAUUACUGGGCGUAAAGCGCACGCAGGCGGUCUGUCAAGUCGGAUGUGAAAUCCCCGGGCUCAACCUGGGAACUGCAUUCGAAACUGGCAGGCUAGAGUCUUGUAGAGGGGGGUAGAAUUCCAGGUGUAGCGGUGAAAUGCGUAGAGAUCUGGAGGAAUACCGGUGGCGAAGGCGGCCCCCUGGACAAAGACUGACGCUCAGGUGCGAAAGCGUGGGGAGCAAACAGGAUUAGAUACCCCAGUAGUC
rnacentral:rRNA from 1 species